CCUACGGGCGGCAGCAGUAGGGAAUUUUCGUCAAUGGGCGCAAGCCUGAACGAGCGAUGCCGCGUGAGUGAAAAAGGCCUUCGGGUCGUAAAGCUCUGUUGCGGGGGAAAAAAGGCAGCAUCAGGAAACGGGUGCUGACUGAUGGUGCCCCGCCAGAAAGUCACGGCUAACUACGUGCCAGCAGCCGCGGUAAUACGGAGGUGGCGAGCGUUACCCGGAAUGAUAGGGCGUAAAGGGUGCGCAGGCGGUCCUGCAAGUCUGGAGUGAAACGGAGGGGAGCAACGCAUGCAUGGAUUGGGAAACUGGAGGACUGGAGAGCAGGAGAGGGCGGUGGAACUCCAUGUGUAGCGGUAAAAUGCGUAGAUAUAUGGAAGAACACCAGUGGCGAAGGCGGCCGCAUGGCCUGUUGCUGACGCUGAGGCACGAAAGCGUGGGGAGCAAAUAGGAUUAGAUACCCUAGUAGUC
rnacentral:rRNA from 1 species